GUGGGUGUAGCUCAGUGGUAGGGUGCUUGCUUAGCAUGCACAAGGUCCUGGGUUCAAUCCCCAGUGCCUCCA
rnacentral:tRNA from 1 species